CGCCAAACCAUUUUUUUUUUAAAUUAUAAUAAAGUAAAAGAAACACUGCAAAGUUAAAAAUAAAAUGACGAAGAAGAUGAUGGCAGUGUUUCUAUUGUGUAUUCUGGUGCUGGCUGCACUUGAAAUCUCCGCUGUUGCCGCCGGCGAGGAGGCUAACAAUAUCCCGAGGAAAAAGUCACUUUUUAGCCGCAUCUUCGAUAAAUUGGGCGUCGAUAUGCCCAAAAAUAAUUGAUAAUUGAGGAUGAACAAGAGAAGAGUUCUCAAGAAUGAUGAUGGGAUUGAUGUAAAUGGUGAUGUAUGAUUUUUUUAAUGAUUUUUUUUCCUUUAUGAGAGGAAUUUCUGAAUGACCCUCCUUUGCCUUCUUUCAUUUUUAUUUUGUGAUCUCUUUGUUUAAUUAGUGAUAAUAGAUAAAGAAAAAAAAGUUGGGUUUUUGCCUUUUUGGUAAUGUUUGGGUCUGUUUUUUUCUCCCAUGAUUGUUCUUAGACCAACAAAAUUCAUUUGAUUUA